rnacentral:lncRNA from 1 species
UAAUUAUGAGUAUCCAAAUAAUUUGAUAGUUAAUUAUGAACAAUUGGUAUCUCAAAUUAUUAAAUUAAAACUCUAACAAAAAUUCUACACUUGACCAUGGAGCAUCUAAGAGAAUUACAAAAGACAUCACAUGGAUAAAUGAUAAAGAUUCUUUUUGACAGCCUCCACGAACAAUGCGGCAACUCACCUCAAUAACUGAAUAAACUCCAACGAACUCGUCAGCUAUUAGCUCCGUCUUCACCAAUGGUAUCUGCAUAGACAUGCAGAUAAGGAGUGAGUUACAUGUAAAUAUAACCUAGUAAGAUCCUCGACCCGCCACUUUAAAUACCUCUGGAACAAGUGUUGGAAAAUNNNNNNNNNNNNNNNNNNNNACGGUACAACAAACUCGACAUCAUGGCGCACAACCGUAUCAAACUCAACAUCAUGGCGCACAACCGUAUCAAACUCAACAUCAUGGCGCACAGCCGUAUCAAACUCAAUAUGAUGGUGCACAGCCGUAUCAAACUCAACAUCAUGGCGCACAACCGUAUCAAACUCAAUAUGAUGGCGCACAGCCGUAUCAAACUAUAAAACUCAACCUUAUGGCACACAACCGUAUCAACCUAUCAAACAACUUAUAAAAUAAUAUAUAUUUUCUUCAUAAAAUAAUAUAUUUGUGGCUAGUCUAAGACCACCGAUUCUGCCAAGCGCAUGCUUGUCCCAACACAUGGACCAGGCAGAGAAAAUACACUUUCAAAACGGAUUUUAGAGAAGCAAGUAUCAAAGCAUAAAGUCUCACUUACCUUGAUAACGACCAGUCCCGCAAUUUUGGUGACGCCCAAAACAUUGACCAAAUUGGACCGCAAUCUAUGCAAAAUAUUGAUUAGCAUUAUCAAUCAUUCUAGUCGUAGUCAUUUUAUUUUUGGAGUAGGUAUAUCAUAAAAAAAUAAAGCUCCCCAUCAAUAUGAUUAAAUCCUCGAUCUAACUAUAUUUCCGAGUUAUUCAUAAGUCAAGAGGUGAAACCUAUAAUCAAGUUCUAAUCUUAGUGCUAACUGACAUAUCAAAUCUUAUAUUUCAUAAAUUUCAAGCUUCGGGUUAAAUGUUUGUAUUUUACACCUCAAAUACAUAUUUUAAGGUCAAAACAUAUUUUAAUAUCACCAUCCGAACUUAAUUGGUGAAUAUUAUAUCCAACAUUUUUAUACUCUUGUGCCAAAAUAAUAUUCCUAGCAAGUAUACAAGUUUGAAAAAAAAAUAUAGUACAUAACCCCCAAAAUAGUGGCAUUCCCAUAGAACUAAUACGUUAAUCUAUAUUUCCAAUUGCUAUAAUGAUUAAUCUCAUGAUUGCAUAAUAAUUAUUCUAUCCUAAAUCAUAGCCAUUAUAAUUACAUUCAAUCGUAGUAUCAUCAUUAAACUAAUUACUUCAACUCAAAUUAAUAUGUAACUGAAGGAUAGAAGUAGAUUAACAUAUUCGUAUACCUGAUUGUUUAUAAUUCUCCACACAAGGUCUCCAUGUAGUGUAAGUUAAUCGAGCCCAAACAACCAUUUAUUUUCCAUCGCACUGCCGCCGUCUGCUGCUCCAAAUAGUCCCUCUUUGAGUUGAUUUUUUUUCUCCAUAUCAAAUAUUAG